GGACUGCGAGGACACUCAUCUGACAUCAAUGAAGACGGUGGCUUCCUGAGUUUCUGAAGAACUUAAGGACUGCGAGGACAUUCAUCUGACAUCAAUGAAGACGGUGGCUUCCUGAGUUUCUGAAGAACUUACGGACUGCGAGGACAUUCAUCUGACAUCAAUGAAGACGGUGGCUUCUGGAGUUUCUGAAGAACUUAAGAGAGUGAAGAGAGGACCCCCCCCCCAUCAAUUGAGACCCCGGCUGCCUAUGUUUCUGAAAAACUUGUGGACGUUUUCAGCCUUGGGGAAGUAUAGCAGACUUAGCAGCCUGAGGGACGUAUAGCAGACUUAACAGACUAUCGAUGUGGCUGCAGUGAGAGCACACAGCCACUUAGCAGACUUAGCCGACUUGGGGCGGUGGCUGGGGUGCCGAGCGGCCCCCCCCAGCCACGUCAGCCCCCCCGACUUAGCAGACUUAGCAGACUUAGCAGGCCUACAGACUUAGCAGACUAUCGGCAGUGACUGCAGGGCCCUGCACAGGAGUGCAGUGAGAGCCGGCAGCCACCUAUCGGCCGCUUAUUAGACUUAGCAGACUUGGGGACGUUUAGCAGACUUAGCAGACUUGGGGACGUUUAGCAGACUUAGCAGACUUGGGGACGUUUAGCAGACUUGGGGACGUUUAGUAGACUUAGCAGACUUGGGGAAGUUUAGCAGACUUGGGGAAGUUUAGCAGACU